UAUGCUUUCAUUUUCAUUUUGCACUUCGAUGUACGCUGUCGACCAUGAGUUGACAGUAUUUAGUACGCAACGUAUGCAUACACAGAUACGCAACGCAAUCUGAGUGGCUCCCAGAAUGACGAGACGAUUUCAAUUUAUUUUUCGUAAAUUCGUGUAAUCCUCUGCAUACGUUCAGUUAUUUCGCUGCUGGAUCUUUACAUGCGGGACGAAUCGAAGCUGCUUUAAUCCAUCCGAGUUCUGGAUUUUUAAAAAAAGUCAAGUUUUCCUCAAUUAUUUUGAAGGUUGUGUGACGACGGAUUUCGCAUUUUUGGCUGCAUUACGAUAAUGAAUUCGUGAGAAAUCAGUUAUGUGAAUUAUGCAUCAGUGUGUUGCAUGACUUUGUGUUGCUUGCACAUAGUUCCUGAAAUUCUGGAUUAAGCGGUCACUCGACUAUAAAAGUUGCCUUUAUUGGAUACUAUAAUAAUGGGUCUCAAAUUCGAGAUCUUGGUAGCAAUGAUCUCAUUUUGCAUAGCCCUUGCUGUGUCGGCUCCACCAGAGCAACAUAAGACUGGACUUCCUUCACGGAGCAGUGAGCUACUACAUCCAAGAACGGAGAAUCAAGUGCAGGGGACAAUCAAUGGAGCCACGCUUCCUUUGGGGUCGGAAAAUGAAUUCAGAUCGUACAUAAUGUCCACACCUCCCUAUCACGACUUGGAGUCCCAGCUCCAAAGCCCUCGUGUGAUUUUGUAAUUCCUAGUAACUCAACUAUGUCGGGACUUCUAUAACUCAUGUAUAGCACUAUUUUAUACAAGUCACCUUCGUCAAAUCUAAAUAAUAUCACUUCUUGGAUAUUUUUAAUGCGUAGUCAGAUAUGAAUAGUUUCCUUAUUCCAAAAACUAAAGAAUUAAAACGAGUCCAAUCAAUUAUA